rnacentral:rRNA from 1 species
UGGGGAAUAUUGCACAAUGGGCGCAAGCCUGAUGCAGCCAUGCCGCGUGUGUGAAGAAGGCCUUCGGGUUGUAAAGCACUUUCAGCGAGGAGGAAGGGUAGUGUGUUAAUAGCACAUUGCAUUGACGUUACUCGCAGAAGAAGCACCGGCUAACUCCGUGCCAGCAGCCGCGGUAAUACGGAGGGUGCAAGCGUUAAUCGGAAUUACUGGGCGUAAAGCGCACGCAGGCGGUUUGUUAAGUCAGAUGUGAAAUCCCCGCGCUUAACGUGGGAACUGCAUUUGAAACUGGCAAGCUAGAGUCUUGUAGAGGGGGGUAGAAUUCCAGGUGUAGCGGUGAAAUGCGUAGAGAUCUGGAGGAACACCGGUGGCGAAGGCGGCCCCCUGGACAAAGACUGACGCUCAGGUGCGAAAGCGUGGGGAGCAAACA